rnacentral:rRNA from 1 species
UACGAAGGGGGCUAGCGUUGCUCGGAAUUACUGGGCGUAAAGCGCACGUAGGCGGCUUUCUAAGACGGGGGUGAAAUCCUGGAGCUCAACUCCAGAACUGCCUUCGAUACUGGAAAGCUCGAGUCCGGGAGAGGUGAGUGGAACUGCGAGUGUAGAGGUGAAAUUCGUAGAUAUUCGCAAGAACACCAGUGGCGAAGGCGGCUCACUGGCCCGGUACUGACGCUGAGGUGCGAAAGCGUGGGGAGCAAACAGG